AUUGUUGGAUAAUUAUUAUAUUGGUGUUCACACGUGCUCUUGACUGGUUAUUUUUCUAGAUAUCAUAGUAUUUGUGAAAUAUUAGCACGUGUCUAAAUAUAUUUUUCUUGUAUUUAUAAUUCGCCAAUUACAUAGAUCCAUAUUUUUAAAGUUGGCUAUUUUAGAAAAUGUUUAGUUUUUUUUUUUUUAAUGUUAUGUAUCAAAUUGGUUGGGAUAAGUGUCAAGAAAAUAUGAAUUUGUAGUACGCAACAUGUGGCAAAGGAUGACGUCUCCCACUGCCAACACAUGGCAAAGUGGGGGCCAUCCCAUUAAAUAUUAGUUUGCCAUUUUUUUGGACAAAAUGAUAUAGAAUAUCUUCCUCCCUCAUUCGUAUGAACAAUAGCAAUUUUCUUACUUUCCUUGUUUGUAGUUGUAUGGGACAAAGUGCAGCACUAUAAAUAGAGGUUUCACUCUGCACGAAUCCUCUCAAUAAUUUUAAAUUUCAACUCUAAUCUUAAACACGGUUAUCCUCCGAAGAAUUUCCGAUUUUAAUGUCGAUUCCUUCAUGUAAAGGUUGGGGGAUAAAAUUAUUAAGCUACUAAUUUCAUUUCUUUUAAGAUUCUGGUACAAAGAGAAGUUGCAACAUUUCUUUCCAUUUCUGGAAACUUUUUCAUUUCAAGAACAGAGUACGUAUAAAGUUUUCCUCCCAAUAAAGAAAUAGCAUUUUCCUUCCAAAACGCAGCAGCAACGUUUUAUUUUAUUUUGAAUGGAUUGGAAAUUUCUUUGAAGUGAAGUAAGCUGGAAGAAGAAUUUCCUGACAUAUAAGCUAUAGAUCGUGGAGCAGACACGGGUUGAGUUCUUGAGCCGUUGAGCUAAGACCAGUCCCAGAUUGUUUUGCAGGUAAAAGUAUUCAGCUAGGAUGAUUGGCUAUCAGCUGGUAUUGGCAAACUCCAUUUUCUUCCUGGAGCGGUGCCGAGUCAUUAUGGUUAUCAUAUGUGUGUAUGGGUAUGUCGGGGCCCUGUCCUGACUCAUAUGAUUCAGGUGUUUACUCUUAGAGACUUUGAAGACAGUGUCCUGUGGUUAGUAUGUUGAGAUGUCAUGUGUUGAGUAAAGCGACCAUGUAGGCCGAUAUGUCAGCUUGAGUUAAUCGGCUUUUGAUUAAUUGAGUAUCGUUCGCAAAUUUUCAUGGUUUGACUAAAAGUACUUUAUUAUAUUUCCAAAAAAAUUUAUAUGUCCAGUUUCAUUGUGUGAAUAC